UACAUAGGGUCCGAGCGUUGUCCGGAAUUAUUGGGCGUAAAGAGCGUGUAGGCGGCCAGGUAGGUCUGCUGUGAAAACUCGAGGCUUAACCUCGAGCUGUCGGCGGAAACCAUCUGGCUAGAGUCCGGAAGAGGAGAAUGGAAUUCCCGGUGUAGCGGUGAAAUGCGCAGAUAUCGGGAAGAACACCCGUGGCGAAGGCGGUUCUCUGGGACGGUACUGACGCUGAGACGCGAAAGCGUGGGGAGCGAACAGG
rnacentral:rRNA from 1 species